AAAACAUCGGCUUGGUGUGUGAGAGUUAGACAAGGAAGUGGUUCAGAGCGUGGGCUCCAGAUCACAGCGAAGGGGUCUCGCAGAUCAUGUUAAAAUUCCUACAGUGGGGAAGAUGGAUGCAUCUGGGAGAGUCAGGAGUCCUUCCAAUCACCAGUGACCUGUGUGAGAGUGACAAAGAACAAGACGGAUGAUGGCAAAGAUGCCAGGGAGAGCCUAUGCUGUAUGAUUUGUCAUUAAGCUUUCAUUUCAUGGAAGAAUGUAUCAUGAGAUUCACACUCACAUACAAGGACAAUUUAAGGUUCAUUUGUGAACUUACAGAGGCUUCUUAAAAAAAUUAAAGAUGUCUCUC